rnacentral:rRNA from 1 species
GAACGCUGGCGGCGUGCUUAACACAUGCAAGUCGAGCGGAAAGGCCCUUUCGGGGGUACUCGAGCGGCGAACGGGUGAGUAACACGUGAGUAACCUGCCCUUGACUUUGGGAUAACCCUCGGAAACGGGGGCUAAUACCGGGUAUGACUUCCUGCGGCAUCGUGGGGGGUGGAAAGCUUUUGCGGUCAGGGAUGGGCUCGCGGCCUAUCAGCUUGUUGGUGGGGUGAUGGCCUACCAAGGCGGCGACGGGUAGCCGGCCUGAGAGGGCGACCGGCCACACUGGGACUGAGACACGGCCCAGACUCCUACGGGAGGCAGCAGUGGGGAAUAUUGCACAAUGGGCGGAAGCCUGAUGCAGCGACGCCGCGUGGGGGAUGACGGCCUUCGGGUUGUAAACCUCUUUCGACCCUGACGAAGCGUGAGUGACGGUAGGGGGAGAAGAAGCACCGGCCAACUACGUGCCAGCAGCCGCGGUAAGACGUAGGGUGCAAGCGUUGUCCGGAUUUAUUGGGCGUAAAGAGCUCGUAGGCGGCUUGUUGCGUCGACCGUGAAAACCCGUGGCUUAACCAUGGGCUUGCGGUCGAUACGGGCAGGCUGGAGUUCGGUAGGGGAGACUGGAAUUCCUGGUGUAGCGGUGAAAUGCGCAGAUAUCAGGAGGAACACCGGUGGCGAAGGCGGGUCUCUGGGCCGAUACUGACGCUGAGGAGCGAAAGCGUGGGGAGCGAACAGGAUUAGAUACCCUGGUAGUCCACGCUGUAAACGUUGGGCGCUAGGUGUGGGGGGCCUCUCCGGUUCUCUGUGCCGCAGCUAACGCAUUAAGCGCCCCGCCUGGGGAGUACGGGCCGCAGGCUAA